rnacentral:tRNA from 1 species
CAGAGAAUAGUUUAUAUAAAACAUUAACUUUGGGAGUUAAAAAUCGGGCUGUGCCUGUUUUCUGA